rnacentral:rRNA from 1 species
UACGGAGGGAGCUAGCGUUGUUCGGAAUUACUGGGCGUAAAGCGCACGUAGGCGGCUAUUCAAGUCGGGGGUGAAAGCCCGGGGCUCAACCCCGGAACUGCCCUCGAAACUAGAUAGCUAGAAUCUUGGAGAGGCGAGUGGAAUUCCGAGUGUAGAGGUGAAAUUCGUAGAUAUUCGGAAGAACACCAGUGGCGAAGGCGACUCGCUGGACAAGUAUUGACGCUGAGGUGCGAAAGCGUGGGGAGCGAACAGG